rnacentral:rRNA from 1 species
GAUGAACGCUGGCGGCGUGCCUAAUACAUGCAAGUCGAGCGAACGGACGAGAAGCUUGCUUCUCUGAUGUUAGCGGCGGACGGGUGAGUAACACGUGGAUAACCUACCUAUAAGACUGAGAUAACUUCGUGAAACCGGAGCUAAUACCGGAUGAUAUUUUGCACCGCAUGGUUAAAAAGUAAAAGACGAUCUUGCUGUCACUUAUAGCUGGAUCCGCGCUGCAUUAGCUAGUUGGUAAGGUAACGGCUUACCAAGGCAACGAUGCAUAGCCGACCUGAGAGGGUGAUCGGCCACACUGGAACUGAGACACGGUCCAGACUCCUACGGGAGGCAGCAGUAGGGAAUCUUCCGCAAUGGGCGAAAGCCUGACGGAGCAACGCCGCGUGAGUGAUGAAGGUCUUCGGAUCGUAAAACUCUGUUAUUAGGGAAGAACAUAUGUGUAAGUAACUGUGCACAUCUUGACGGUACCUAAUCAGAAAGCCACGGCUAACUACGUG